rnacentral:rRNA from 1 species
GGGCCCGCACAAGCGGUGGAGUAUGUGGUUUAAUUCGAUGCAACGCGAAGAACCUUACCUGGUCUUGACAUACACAGAACCUUGUAGAGAUACGAGAGUGCCUUCGGGAAUUGUGAUACAGGUGCUGCAUGGCUGUCGUCAGCUCGUGUCGUGAGAUGUUGGGUUAAGUCCCGCAACGAGCGCAACCCUUGUCCUUAGUUACCAGCGGGUUAAGCCGGGAACUCUAAGGAUACUGCCAGUGACAAACUGGAGGAAGGCGGGGACGACGUCAAGUCAUCAUGGCCCUUACGACCAGGGCUACACACGUGCUACAAUGGUAGGUACAGAGGGCAGCUACACAGCGAUGUGAUGCGAAUCUCAAAAAGCCUAUCGUAGUCCAGAUUGGAGUCUGCAACUCGACUCCAUGAAGUAGGAAUCGCUAGUAAUCGCGGAUC